rnacentral:rRNA from 1 species
UGCGGAGGGAUCAUUACUGAGUUACCGCUCUAUAACCCUUUGUGAACAUACCUAACCGUUGCUUCGGCGGGCAGGGGAAGCCUCUCGCGGGCCUCCCCUCCCGGCGCCGGCCCCACCACGGGGACGGGGCGCCCGCCGGAGGAAACCAAACUCUAUUUACACGACGUCUCUUCUGAGUGGCACAAGCAAAUAAUUAAAACUUUUAACAACGGAUCUCUUGGUUCUGGCAUCGAUGAAGAACGCAGCGAAAUGCGAUAAGUAAUGUGAAUUGCAGAAUUCAGUGAAUCAUCGAAUCUUUGAACGCACAUUGCGCUCGCCAGCAUUCUGGCGAGCAUGCCUGUUCGAGCGUCAUUUCAACCCUCAAGCACCGCUUGGUUUUGGGGCCCCACGGCACACGUGGGCCCUUAAAGGUAGUGGCGGACCCUCCCGGAGCCUCCUUUGCGUAGUAACUAACGUCUCGCACUGGGAUCCGGAGGGACUCUUGCCGUAAAACCCCCCAAUUUUUUACAGGUUGACCUCGGAUCAGGUAGGAAUACCCGCUGAACUUAAGCAUAUCAAUAAGCGGAGGA